GAUGAACGCUGGCGGCGUGCCUAAUACAUGCAAGUCGAGCGAACAGAUGAGGAGCUUGCUCCUCUGACGUUAGCGGCGGACGGGUGAGUAACACGUGGAUAACCUACCUAUAAGACUGGGAUAACUUCGGGACACCGGAGCUAAUACCGGAUAAUAUAUUGAACCGCAUGGUUCAAUAGUGAAAGACGGUUUUGCUGUCACUUAUAGAUGGAUCCGCGCCGCAUUAGCUAGUUGGUAAGGUAACGGCUUACCAAGGCAACGAUGCGUAGCCGACCUGAGAGGGUGAUCGGCCACACUGGAACUGAGACACGGUCCAGACUCCUACGGGAGGCAGCAGUAGGGAAUCGUCCGCAAUGGGCGAAAGCCUGACGGAGCAGCGCCGCGUGAGUGAUGAAGGUCUUCGGAUCGUAAAACUCUGUUAUUAGGGAAGAACAAAUGUGUAAGUAACUAUGCACGUCUUGACGGUACCUAAUCAGAAAGCCACGGCUAACUACGUG
rnacentral:rRNA from 1 species